GAUGAACGCUGGCGGCGUGCCUAAUACAUGCAAGUCGAGCGAACGGACGAGAAGCUUGCUUCUCUGAUGUUAGCGGCGGACGGGUGAGUAACACGUGGAUAACCUACCUAUAAGACUGGGAUAACUUCGGGAAACCGGAGCUAAUACCGGAUAAUAUUUUGAACCGCAUGGUUCAAAAGUGAAAGACGGUCUUGCUGUCACUUAUAGAUGGAUCCGCGCUGCAUUAGCUAGUUGGUAAGGUAACGGCUUACCAAGGCAACGAUGCAUAGCCGACCUGAGAGGGUGGUCGGCCACAUUGGACCUGAGACACUGUCCAGACUCCUGCGGGAGGCAGCAUUAGGGAGUCUUCCGCAAUGGGCGAAAGCCUGACGGAGCAACGCCGCGUGAGUGAUGAAGGUCUUCGGAUCGUAAAACUCUGUUAUUAGGGAAGAACAUAUGUGUAAGUAACUGUGCACAUCUUGACGGUACCUAAUCAGAAAGCCACGGCUAACUACGUG
rnacentral:rRNA from 1 species